ensembl:lncRNA
CUAGCUACUGCACACAUCAGGGCAGGCAGUGCUGUUCUCACCCACUGACAUGGAGGAACCACAGGAGGUGAUGGAGAUUCCAGCCAAGAAAGCUCGGCAUGACAUGGAUGCGAGCCAGGAGGAGAACCCAAGGAGUGACCCAGCCAUCUUGGGAUCAGAGGUCACCACUUACCCUCCAUCCUCUUCCACUCAUCUAGCUGCUGUUUCUGGAAGUGAAGAACUGUCAAAUCAAGAAAUAUCACAAAACAAGACCGGUGACGC